rnacentral:lncRNA from 1 species
AGUGAAGUCCACUUAGCACUAAAUAUAUCCUUAGUUUCCUCCUUUAAGCCUAAUCCUUUUUAUUGGCAACCAUAUUACAAGCCGUAUCCUUUUUGAAAAAGUAACCCUCUUUUGAAUUCCCUCCUUGAACUUGAGGUUCUGAAAGUUAAGGCUAAAAGUCUAAGUUGGGGGUAUUAUAGGAAAUUCAUUGAAGGGAUGCUUAUCACACGAGGGCUUGAUAUAAAAAAAAGAAAAAAAGAAGAAGGGAGAAAUUAAAGGAUGGAUUGAAAGUCUUAAAGAAAGAAAACGCUUUGAAAAAGAAUGAAAGAAAAUGAAUAAUGAGACUUGACUAAAAUGAAUAAUGAGACUUGACUAAAAUGAAUAAAUGAGACUUGAAUCCUCCAAAAGUUGAAAAUGGUUGCAUGUGGGACAUCUGGAGUGGAAAUAAGAAAAGAAAAAUGAAAAAUAGUGUGGAAUUGUGCAUGGUUUUGAGGAGUGAAGAAAAGUGGAGAAAGUUGGAAAUGAUGAGUUGUUGUGUAGCGUUCAAGGAGGGUUUAGUCUCUUAUACCUAAAUAAUAUCCUUACCUCCCUAAGCCUACAUUACAAGCUUAACAAAGUCCUUUGAGAUUUCUAACCAAAUGGAGUUGAGUCAAUGUUGAAUGAAAAUAUGGACAAGCCUAUGGUGUGACAUUUGUGUGCAUGAGAUGAUUCUUUGUGAGUGUGAGUGUUGUAUCUUUGUCCCUUGUCCUGUUUAUAUAUGUGUGUGGUUUUGGGAUUCUUCUUUCUUGUGAGGGC